rnacentral:rRNA from 1 species
AACGCUGGCGGCAGCCUAACAAUGCAAGUCGAGCGCCCCUCCUUCAAGCGAGCUUGGAGGAUUGCGAUUGAGCGAAGCCGAAGGGCUCGCUUGAUGGAGGGGAGCGGCAGACGGGAGAGUAACACGUGGGAACGUACCCUUUGGUUCGGAACAACCCAGGGAAACUUGGGCUAAUACCGGAUAAGCCCUUACGGGGAAAGAUUUAUCGCCGAAGGAUCGGCCCGCGUCUGAUUAGCUAGUUGGUGGGGUAAUGGCCCACCAAGGCGACGAUCAGUAGCUGGUCUGAGAGGAUGAUCAGCCUCACUGGGACUGAGACACGGCCCAGACUCCUACGGGAGGCAGCAGUGGGGAAUAUUGGACAAUGGGCGCAAGCCUGAUCCAGCCAUGCCGCGUGGGUGAUGAAGGCCCUAAGGUUGUAAAGCCCUUUCGGCGGGGAAGAUAAUGACGGUACCCGCAGAAGAAGCCCCGGCUAACUUCGUGCCAGCAGCCGCGGUAAUACGAAGGGAGCUAGCGUUGCUCGGAAUCACUGGGCGU